ensembl:lncRNA
UUGAUGUAGACGGCGUGAAAACGGAAACAGCAAGUAUGCCGGCUCACUGUGCUGCAUACAAUUACAUACUACGUCGUACAAUUGAGACAAGGAAACUUGGAAUGACUUUUCAUAGGUUUCCCAGAGACUAUGGGUUGAGGAGGAAGCGGAAGUUUGUCAGCUUAGACCUGGUGUCAUUCCAUCAGUGUUUAACUUCCCGGCUCAUCUUGGAAGAGUACGUGCCAGAAAGACCACGACCAAGCAGCCUUGAGAUCUUAGACAGCGUCUCCCUCAGGUCCCUCUCUAUCUCCCCACACAUCCACCAACCACUGGAACACAUCUCCAAAGUUCUGCCGGGCCAGCUCAGCUUCCCCUCAGAAGAAGUUCCACCAGAUGAAGGAGCCUUUUGAGAGGCAGACCAAAGUACAGUCCAAUCAUGAUUGAUUGGACUGUACUUUGGUCUGUUUCAAUCCAGCUUCAGCUCCAGAGACGACAGGCGGGACAAGUCAACGGAGGCCGGAUGGGCGAAGGCAUGCAGCUGAGUACAAUCCAGAAAACAACAGAGGAGGAGUGCAGGGCCAGAACAAACAGAGUAGCAUGGUAUGUCUCUUAGAAAACAUCAUAGUAUAGCCUUUGGGAUGAAAAAAACGCC